CUAAAGCGGGGCGCCUGGUUUGGAGGUGGAUUCUGCGGGGCUCCCGCUGGCUAUAAAAGGGCGGCGCCAGGCUGAUCUCGCUCUCUCUCUUACUGGGCUGGCAGCGGAGCGAAUGGUUGAAUUCCAAAUAUAGCAGCAAUUCUCAGAACACAAAGUGGUUAAAUUCAGAUACCUGAAGAAUUUGAGCUAUUGGAAGUAACCAAGAUAAAAUGCAGAUUGAGUUCCAAAUAUAGCAAUUUUCAGAACACGAAGUGGUUAAAUUCAGAUACCUGAAGAAUUUGAGCUAUGGAAGUAACCAAGAUAAAAUGCAGUGGGACUUGAGCAUAAGUGACUGGUCUUGCAAUAGGAUGACUUAAAAGAAAUUCCUAGUGAGGUGGCUUCGUGUGGGUAUUGGAAUUGUUACCAGCUUGACUACUGAGGUCCCUCUGCCUUAUGUGAAGAUGAGUUUGGAGGAAUGUUCAGUCUACCUUAGGUGAACUUCUGGCAAAUUUUAUAACCAGCUUCCAAGACUGCUUGGAGUCAUCUUUAGCUAUGCCAUAAGGUGCAUCAGUGCUUGGCUACAGAGAUGACUGAAGUAAAUUCUCAAACAGGUUAGGGAGUAAGAGGUGUGUGCAAGAUUGCUGCCAGGAUGACCUUCUGAAAAUAUUGAUUGAAGUGGUCUCAAAUUAGCCAGUUUUCCUUAAGGAAGUGUUGGAAUUGCAGAAAAUGGACAGCUGGACUGAAGAUCAGAUUACCUGACAACGGCUUGCCUUUUUGACUAGCAUUUUGCAUGUAUUUUUACACGUGGUCAAAAGUUAAUUAAAUUCCUGGCUUUGGGUUGCUACAUUAAGAAUCUUCAAAGAGGAAAUGAGAAUUCCAUCUCUAGUUCAAUAAAAUUGUAAACAUCUAGCUUGUACAAAUUUGUGCUCUAGCAUUCAUUGUGCACUUCACUUAAAUAAAGUAAUUGGUUGAGAUUA